rnacentral:rRNA from 1 species
GAUGAACGCUGGCGGCGUGCCUAAUACAUGCAAGUAGAACGCUGAAGCUUGGUGCUUGCACCGAGCGGAUGAGUUGCGAACGGGUGAGUAACGCGUAGGUAACCUGCCUCUUAGCGGGGGAUAACUAUUGGAAACGAUAGCUAAUACCGCAUAAAAGUCGAUAUCGCAUGAUAUUGAUUUGAAAGGUGCAAAUGCAUCACUAAGAGAUGGACCUGCGUUGUAUUAGCUAGUUGGUGAGGUAACGGCUCACCAAGGCGACGAUACAUAGCCGACCUGAGAGGGUGAUCGGCCACACUGGGACUGAGACACGGCCCAGACUCCUACGGGAGGCAGCAGUAGGGAAUCUUCGGCAAUGGGGGCAACCCUGACCGAGCAACGCCGCGUGAGUGAAGAAGGUUUUCGGGUCGUAAAGCUCUGUUGUAAGAGAAGAACGAGUGUGAGAGUGGAAAGUUCACACUGUGACGGUAACUUACCAGAAAGAGACGGCUAACUACGUG